GGAGUUGCUGCUCUUGAUGAUAAAUGAGUUAAGAAUUAAUUAAUUUGAAUAUUUAAACUAAAUAUUUUUAUGAAAAAAAAAAAAAAAAAAAAAAAA
rnacentral:ribozyme from 15 species